GUGCUCGCUUUGGUGGCACAUGUACUAAAAUUGGAACAACACAGAGAAGAUUAGCACUGCCCUGCGCAAAGAUAACACGCAAAUUCCUGAAGCCUUCCAUAUUUUC
ensembl:snRNA U6 U6 spliceosomal RNA